rnacentral:ncRNA from 1 species
AUAAUAAAAUUUAAUUUUAAUUUUAUUAUAUUCUUGUUGAAGAAAGAAUUAGCAAGUUAUAAUAAAUAGUAUAAUAAUUAGGUUAAAUAUAUUUAAAUAAUGAAGCCAAAGUUAAAUCGAAUUUAUUUUUUUAAUAAAUUUAAAAUAUAUUAUUUAUUAUAGACCCGAAAUCAAAUGAUCUAAUUAUAUUUAAAAUAAAAUUUAAAUAAAAUUAAAUUAUAGUUUGAAUUGAUUACUGUUGCAAAAGUAUCAAAUAAAAUAUAAUUAGUGGUGAAAUGCCAAUCGAAUUUGAAGAUAGCUGGUUCUCUUUGAAAUAUAUGUAAGUAUAGUAUUUAUAUAUAAAUAAAUGUAAAACUCUUUUUUUAUUAGAUUAAUUUAAAUAAUUAAUAUUAAUAUUAAUAAUUUAAUAAUUUUAUUUAAUAAAAUAUAUAUAUUAUUAGAAAAUAAAGGAUAAGCUUUAUUUUCAAAAGGGAAACAGCCCUAAUUAUAGAUUAAGAUUUUUAAAUAUUAGUUAAGUUUUAAAAAGAAUCUAACAUUAUAUUAAUAAUUGAAAGGUAAAUUUAGAAGCAGUAUCUUUUAAAGAGUGCGUGAAAGCUCAUUAAUUUUACUCAGUGUAGUUCACACAUAAUCGAGAAGAAAUUAAUUAUCGAGAGUAUAAAAUUUAAUAUGAGUACGAUUAAAAUGGGGAAGAAGAGCGGUUUGAUAAAAAAUGAAUUUAUAUGUCAGUUAAGUUAUGAAGAGCAACGGGAAAAUGCUAAU